CUCCUCCUCGCCGGCUCACCGCGGGCUCGUGUCGCUGCCCGGGCACGGUCCUGUCUCUUCGCCGCUCCUGGUUUUGCCUUCUUGCUGUCAAAGAGCCGCUGCCGCGGGCGCGCCCCUCGCGGGAAGCGCUCAGCUCAGGGAGCGCCGCGGGAGCUGCGGGCAGCCGACACAGGGAUGCUCUUCGCGGGUGGCAUUUGCCUGUGCGGAUCGACUUGUCCUCGGGAUACGGUGGUAGACUUUGUGAGUGACCGGUCGCAUCCAAAGCCGACAGCUUUAAACCAUCCUGCCGCUGGAAGUUGGAGGGGAUCUCUGGGGAUUGUCUGGUCCAACCCCCAUACUCCAAGCAGGGUCAGUGACAGUCAGCUGCUCAGGCUGCAUCCUGUUGCAGUUUGGGUAUCUCUCUUGGUGGAGACUCCACACUCCUGUUCUUUCAGGACACCUUGUGCCGAUGUUUGACCAACCUCACAUUAUAAGAGGGUCUUUUUCUCCUAUUCAAAUGGAAUUUCCUGUAUUUCAAUUUGAACCUGUUGCUUCUUGUCUUCUCUUUGUGAACUGUGUGAGCACUGAGGCAAAGGAGGAAAUUAUAUCAUCUUCACAAAAUGAGAUACAUUUUCUGGAGAAAUUGUUAAAAUUUACAUCCUUCCUCUCUGCAAAAAGUUGCAGCAAAUUGGGCUGGAGGUGUAAAGUCUGGAUACAAGGUGAGAAAAUAAAUUUGUCAACUGAUACAUUACCUGAGGCCCAAAAGAUAAAAUUGCCUGGAGUGAAGGCUGGGAUUUUUAUAAUAGACAGCAAUCAGCUACCACAUGGUGUACUGUACAGAAGGGAUAGAAGCAGCAUAGCAUCUUGUUUAAGCAGCCUCAUAGAAAGGGUUGCUCAUGGAAGUGUUGUUUGCAAGUGGGAAAGUCUCUAUGGGGUGGAACAACUGCAGUGUCCAUGUUACAGCUGUGUCAUGAAGUGAAGCAGGGAGUUCUGAAAAGUGUCAGAAAGUGCCCAUUUCCUCAUUUUCUCCUGUCACUGCUAAGUGGAGUUACAGCUGUGCAAAAGAAAAGAGUGUGUGAUAAUGCCCAGCAAACCACCAAGGUUGUUAAAUCCAGAGAGCUGGACUACUUCUUGUAGCCUUGAGGCCACCCUGUCUUUCUGUGUGUAGACUGAGCAGAGAGUGGCAGCUGCAGUAAAUGCUCCACCUGGGGCCAUGGCCCAGCUUACUCCUGGUGUCACAGAGACCAAACUAUCUGCCCUUACCUAACAGUACCAUGCCUGAAGUAUUUAGAAUUGUAGAACAUCCUGUGUUGAAAUGGGUCCACAAGGAUCAUCAAGUCCAGCUCCUGACACACAGGACAGCCCCAAAAGUCACACCAUGUGCCUGGGAGCAGUCUCCACACUUAUUGAAUUCUGUCAGGCUUGGGGCUGUGACCAUUUCCCUGGAGAGCCUGCUCCAAUAUCCAACCACCCUCUGGGUAAUGAACAUUUUUCUAAUAUCCAACCUAAAUCUCCCCUGACACAACUUCAGGCCAAUCCCUCAGUCCACUCACUGGUCAUGAGAGUGAAGAGAUCAGUGUCUGACCCUCCCCUUCCCUUCACGAGGCAGUUGUAGGCUGCAGUGGGGUCUCCCCUCAGUCUCCUUCAGGCUGAACAGACAAAGUUGCUCCUCAUACAGUUCCCCUUGAUAUUCAUGGUCCUCCUUUAGAUGCUCUCUAACAGCUUAAUGUCUUUUUGGUAUUGUGGUGCCCAAAACUGCACACAAGCUGCAAAUAGCUCUAAUAAUUCAAAGUGGCCUGCCUGCUUUAGCCAUUAAGCCAUAAGUAGGGCAAGAAAGGCAUCUCUAGAGCAAAAGGCUUUUUAGGGAAGCUGCAGGUAAACUGAAACCAUUUACUUGCCUUACAGAGACUACCAUGUAGCUGUCAACUCACUGAAGUGGUAAUUGCCACCAGCUUGGAUUGCAUCUGUUAAUAAACUAGAACAUUGCUCACCUUUGAAAGACAUGUUAGAUGGUUUAACUCUACCAAAAGCUUUCUAUAAUAUAUGACAGACCUGUGUAAAGCAAAGAAGUAGAGAAAAUGUGAAAAGGAGAACAUUGGUUAUAAUGACAGAAUUGUCACCAGUCUCUGCUAGAUGCAGAACAAUGUAGAAAACUUAAAGCAAGUCAUGUUGUAGAAAGGAAGUAUAAAAUUAAAGCAACCUGGAAAUCUUGCUUUUAUAAGCAAGAUCUAAAAAUGGUCCAUGUGUGAUAGCCAAGCAUGUUCUCUCUUGGACACUGGUUAAAAUAAAAGUGAAGUGAUUGUAAUCCACAAGGUUAGGGGAAAGGCCAGGUCUGGUCUCACCUGUAAAUUUUCUUACUUCUGUUACUGCCAGUCAUCCAGUUUUACAGCAGAUAUCUAAAAUAAAUCACAUGAAUUUAUUUGUCCUAAUGUGCCUGUUCCCUGACUAGAAUAAAAUAGCUGAUGUGUCAAGUGCAAAGGUUCAUACUUCUACUAUUAGUGUUGAAAUUUUGGUGAAAUAAGUCCCAGCCUAUCAGUCUACAGGUGGACACCCAGGCAGCAGCAGAACCAGAUCAGCACUGUUGGCAGUACUGACUGAAACUUCUCUGCCACAGGUUCUCUCCCUCUCUCAUUGAAAUGAGAUCAGUAAGUAGUUAAAACCACUUGAAUUCUGUAAAGGAAAUCAUGUUAUCAGUUACUCUCUUAAAAAGAUCAGGAUUAGGAUUUUUGUGAGGAGUUGGCAUUUUCCAGGCCAUGACUUUAUAAUAAUAUGGGGAUUUCUCUGUUUCCAGGUGAAUAUGCUGGGACCUGAGCACAAAUUCCCUAGUAAGUUUUUGAAACAUAUGAGCAACUUAAGAAAAAAACCUUUCUGGUUUUGGCUUUUGUCUAGUAAGGGUAGAAGGCAAAUUCUAUGAUCAUGCAGUAGCAGAGUUCAUUAUUCUUCAGAGGGAAAGGAACAAGUAUAGAAAACCAGGGGAUUUUGAGAGUAAAGCUUUAGAUACUGAUCUGCAGUUUAGAAUCUCAGAGGAACCAAAACUAAAGAAAAAUUAUUUAAGGGGGACUAUCAGUUUUCUGGACAAAAGAUAUGAAUGAUGCUGGCUCAAGGGAUCCAAAUGUGAAAUAUAGAAGGAGGACAGGAACUAUAGUAAAAGACAAAUGUAUAAAUUUUAAGUUAAUUUCUGUCACAAGAUGAAAGCAUACAGCAAAUAGAUAGAAAAUUAGAUCAGGGAAGACAAAUAAAAGGAAUAAAAUGGAAAUACACGAACAGAUACAAAAUUAUGCUAUUAGCAAGGGAUAUUAUGGAUGGUGUGAACUUAUUCAUCAGCACAAUAGUGAUGAGAAAGACUAAGAAAAACAUUGGUCUGCUGUACAGAAAAGAGGAAGAACUCUCAACAAAUAAUUCCAAGAAGGCUGAAAUGCGUAAUGGCUUUUUCUGUAUCAGUCUUCUGAAAAGGUCAACUCUGAACUGUUGUGUGGUACAAUUAACACUUGUAAGAAAGGGGAAGGUAAAACAACAGGUUAGAAUCCCUAAAUCUGUCAGAUCUUUUAAAAUCAUUUAAGCAAUUUGAACUUCAUUCUAGAAUAUUCAAAGAAAUUGCUAAAACAAUAAUGGGCACUUUGGCAACUCUUUGAAGGGUUUGAAAUUCCAGGCAAGUUAAAAUGACAAACAUUUUGCCAGUCUUUAAAAAAGGAAUGGUGACAGGAAGAAAUAAAAGACAAUGGGCUUAAAUUGCAACAAAGAAGAUUCAGGUUGUGUAUGAGAAAAAGUUUUCUAAAUGAAGUGGAGCAAGUGUGCAGUCUGCCUAGGAAUGACAUAGAGAUUUCAUCACCAGAGUCCUUUAUACUCAGAUUAACCAGACACCCCACAAGAAAUAUGCAGAAUCCUUAAUUCCCUCAUUGUGCAGGAAUGGAUGAGAAGACAUUUUUCUGCCUCUGUCAGGGCUUUUUUCCCCAGGUUCAGUGAUAGUGUGUGUUCAUUAUUCCUGUUUUCCUUAGAAAAAAAGAGGAAAAAAAAGAGGUAGGAUGUUGAUCACACUGCACAUAGAGUCUUGUUCUUUGGCCGUUUUUUGCUUUACUUUUCGAGUGCAGAUAAAAAUAAUUUUUUGACAAGUUUACACUGAAUUUAGAUUUGAUUUUUAUUUUACCUUCAAGAAAUAAAACAUUUUAAUAUUAGGAUCAAGCAGACCUUGAGAUGUGCCAUUAUGCUACCCUAGCUGGUGUAUGUCUCAAACUAAAUAAACUUUAAACCAGCCCAAAAUAGAAAUGAUCAUGGACUGAGAAGUACUUAUUUAAUUAAAGCAGUGAAAUCAGAUAUAACAAUAUCUUUACUGCUGCUGGAAUGAAAAAACCUGGAUGGGAAAAUAAUCAUCAAGAAAACCAGCUAAAAUAUACAGAAGGUUACUUUGAAGAACUUGGUCCUGCAAGGAAUUAAGUACUUUGCUGGAAGUUUCUCUUCUGGCAGCUGUACCUCCUUCUGCUUGUGUUUGGUGUACUGGUAUGACUUGGAGACAAAGAGCAUGAGGAAAGCACUUUUAUUGUCCAUUUUUGCACAAAACACUGCUGACAAUUGAAUGUAGUCCUUCAGGUGACGUGCAGCAGGGACCAUGUAGGAGCUCUGUGUGUCUGAAUGAAAUGUUGCCAGCUCUCUGGAAGGAGCCUCCAUGCCCAGGCUCUUUGCCUGGAAGGGGAGAUCAGGGCCUUUGCAGCUCCCUGGCAGACUGGGCGUGCAAACAGCAGGCCAGGGAAAGCUCCAGGAGGCGUUGCCUUCCUCCAGAUAAGCCAACUGAAGAAUGCACCCAUUCCCCAGCCAGGCCACUCUCCAGCCUACUGACUUCAUGAACUCAUAGCCCUGAUAUUAUCCUGCUGCUUCUGCCGAAUAAUCACUUCUAGGGAAUCUCUAAUUUUCCAAGCCAAAAGUUCCCUAAGGAGCUGCUGCAGGCUGGGCUGGAGAUCGGUUCUAUGGCAUGGAGCACUCAGCACAUGACAAAAUUUUCCUAUUUCCUGGAGGAAAACUUGCUUUUUUAAUUGAAAGCAGAAGCCUAAUCAGAGCUGAGAAGAUUAGACAUGCCGUGAAGUGGGAUAAGUUGGAUGGAGAAAAGAAAAACACUUAUUUAAACAAAUUACUUGCUGGUUACAGGAGCAGUCUUAAUUUGUCCCAUGGAUGAAUUCUAGGAACAAAGUGGGUCUGGGUAUGCAGAAUAGUGAAGCUGGUAAAAAAAAAAAAAAGAA